GACUCUCGGCAACGGAUAUCUCGGCUCACGCAUCGAUGAAGAACGUAGCAAAAUGCGAUACUUGGUGUGAAUUGCAGAAUCCCGUGAACCAUCGAGUUUUUGAACGCAAGUUGCGCCCGAAGCCUUUUGGUUGAGGGCACGUCUGCCUGGGCGUCACAC
rnacentral:rRNA from 2 species